rnacentral:lncRNA from 1 species
AUGAUCUUUAAUUGUAUCUCUAUUAUGCAUUCAUAUAGGGGACUUUUAGAGAAUGAUUUGGGUUGUCGUAUGCAUUCAUCCAAUUCAAUGAGUAAAGGAAAAUCUGAGGGUUAAUUUGUGCAUCACGGUUAAUCUGGGGUGUUAAGCAUCAUAGUUUAUUGAAAAGCAAUUGGAGAUUGAUUUGUAUGCAAGUGUGUCAUGUGUGGAGAAAGACCUUCUAGCUAGCCCAUCAUCCAUCCAAAACAACCAAUUUCGUGCAAAUCUGUUUAGUUCUAGUUUCUGUUUUGUUUUACUUUAUUUUUGUCCAAAACCCAAUCCCCCUUUACUUUAGUGUGUCUAAUUAGUUAGAAUCUAUUUUAGUUUGUGUUUUUAAGUGUUUUGAGUCUAUAGAGUCUAGUUAAGUGUUUUUAAGUUUCUUGUAAGUCAGUUUAGUUUAGAUUAGCAAUCCCUCCUAAUCCCCGGUCAAGAACGAUCCCUACUUAUACAUAUACUACAAUUGUCAAAAGAGGGUUUAAUUUGAGUACUUAACUUUCAUCGCAUCAGUAAGGACAAUUAAAUGGUUUAAUUGUUUAUGGCAAGAAUUAUUAAUCAAACGAAUAAGUUCGUUUUAAACCUUGAGUUAGUUUUGGGCCUUAAAGCCCAAAUUGGGCUUCGAAUCGUCAAGCCCAUUAGCUUAAGUUGUAUGAAAACUUAACAAAAUAAAUUCAAGAAGCCUAAAACAGCCCAAAGGCUUGGGAAAACCGGCCAUAUAGAGAGGGGUAGUGAACUUGGCUUUAUUGCAAGUUUGCCACUCCAUUGUGAGGUGGUAUAAAGGCAACUUUAUAGCCAUUUCAUCCUUAGGGUUUCUUUUGGAGAAAAUUGGAGAGAACAUGUCUCUCCCUUUCUCUCUAGGAGGCCGGCCCCUUGGAGGAGAUUAGCCAGCAAUCUUUCCUCCUCCAAGGUCACUCAUCUCUUCUUCAUGGCCCUCCUUGGUGUGGAAAAUUAGAGGUUCUCAACUUUGGGAACUUGGAGAAUCCUUUCAACCAUCCUCAUCCAAGAAAUCCAUGGAUCUAAGAAGCAAGGAAUGAAGGCCCUCUCCUUCGGUGAUUAGCCUUUGCUUAUGCAAAGGGGAAUCAACAAAGGUAUAAGAUUUCUCAACUCACUUUGUUCUUGAGUUGAGUCUUGGUUCACCUUUCUAUUAGGCUUUGAAUUUCAUGGGUAAUGUUUUGUUUUGAGUGCAUACAAGCAUGAUUCUGCCUUUAAUUGUUAAUUGCAUGCCAUAGAUGUUGCUCAAAUGAACAUGUUUUUCACAAAAUUUCCUUCAAGUGGUAUCAAGAGCCUAGGUCUAGUAGUUGGUGAAUCCUUUUGGGUUUUGUAUUUUCAUAGUUUUUUAUUUGAAUGUUGUAAUUGUUACAAGCUUUAUUCUUGCUUCUUUGAAUGUAAAUUUUGUUAGAAAAUUUGCCUUCUCAAAUGUUGUAGAUGUAGUUAAUAUGAGCAUGAAUUUUAUAGCUAAAAUUGGUGCCAUGUUUUUGGGGAAAUUCGGUCAAAUCCAAAGGGUGGAUUUUUGGGUUCAUGUUUGUCUUGUUAAAAGUGUUUUAAAGUGACAUUAGGAACCCUUAAGUACCCUAGUAUGGUAAUAUGUUUUUUCCCUUAAGUUUGAGAAUUUUUGGGGUGUCUUUGGAUGAAAAAUGUUCAUGGAGCUCUUAUGGGUUUUCAUGGAUGUUCUUCAUUGUUCUUGUUAUGUUCUAACCAAGAACAAAAAGGUUUGGUGUUUUGAUUCAUAGUGUUUGAUGUUUUUCAUAAAGUUUUGUUUAUAGUGGUUGGUGUGACUUUAUUGUAAUAAAUGGUAUGACAUGAUUUGUCCUUUUUCAAUCAACACCAUACCAAUCACUUACACAUUUUCAUUGUUUCAAGGAACCAUAUUUUAUGGAAAUCACUUUUUCAAACCUGCACAUCACCUUUCACUUUUGUUGAAAAAUUCAAAAGUUUUAUGACACCAUCUCUCAUCCAAAAUAGGCCACCCUAUUAAAUAGGGUACUUUUGGGGCUUUUAUGCAAUUACAUAAAGUUUUGAUACUUUUGUGUAUUUG